rnacentral:rRNA from 1 species
UACGGAGGAUGCAAGCGUUGUCCGGAAUGAUUGGGCGUAAAGCGUCCGCAGGUGGCGAUGUAAGUCUGCUGUUAAAGAGUGAGGCUCAACCUCAUAAGAGCAGUGGAAACUACAUAGCUAGAGUGCGGUAGGGGCAGAGGGAAUUCCUGGUGUAGCGGUGAAAUGCGUAGAGAUCAGGAAGAACACCGGUGGCGAAAGCGCUCUGCUAGGCCGCAACUGACACUGAGGGACGAAAGCUAGGGGAGCGAAUGGG